AAAGUUGAAAAAGGCGAGAAGAAUGAAAAGAAAAUGAAUAAAAUAGAGAGGGCAGGAUAGUUGCCGCCAUUAUCUCUGUUUCCCUCUUCCAAACUCCUCUCACUCUUUCUCUUUCCACUCACUCGCUCUCACUCUCGCUAUCGUCCCGGACAUGGUGGGUCGCUCUUCCGUGUGUGUGUGUGUGUGUGUGUGUGUGUGUGUGUGUGUAGACUAACCCUGUGACGUGACAAACAACUCGCAUAAAACAACAACAAUAAUAACGAUGGAUACAGUUUUCGAAGACACAAAUAAGUAAACACUGCAGAAGAAAAGAGAGUGACAGUAGUGAGAGCCAGUCAGGAAACACGGCGCUUAUUUCUUCCCCAGAGAGUGAGGCGGCAGCCAUGGACGAGCCCGGCAGUGAUAGUGACGAUGGCGGUGAUAGUGAUGGAAAUUCAAGUCGUGGAAGCGCAGGGGACCACGAACACGACCACCACCACCACCACCACUACCACCUCCACCACCAGCAAGCCAAUGAUCAUAGAUACCACGAUUUUCAUUAACGGUACAAACUGCAACACAACACUGCUCGACUGGCCCUCCGACCUCCCUUUGGACUGUUCGGCUCUGUUCAGCUUGUUUAAGCAGUCAACACCCGCGCCUGCACAGAAACCCAAGAAAUGUAAGGCUCAGAGCACCAAACCUAUAAGGAAGAGGAAUAGAAAUCGAGGAAGAGGGAAAAACUACCAGACAAACAGAAGACGUGGAGGAAACAAAAGGAGGAAUGGAAGGCGCGGUGGAGGGAGGAGGAACGGGAGAAAGAAGAAGAAGGGAAGAAGGAGGUCGGGAGGAGGAGGACUUAGGCGAAGAAAGAGGUACCGCCGUAGUCUGUCACAUCACUUGCCUUUCUCACCCACACCUCUCCUGUCGCCCUGUGCAGGAACGCCUCCCCUCCCCCCUCCCCUAUCACUGCCUGUAGGGAGGUGGGGGGAGGAGCAGCUGAUGGAGUACUGGAGGACGAUGGGGCGCCCUUUUAUUAGAACUCGAAAGAGAAUAUCCAGGGUACCUUCUUCGGCGCCUUCUGCGUAAGAGAGCUGUACUAUAAUCUACUGGGGGAUGUAUAAGCACUCCAGCAGAUGUAUAAGUCGUAAGUUGUGUCCUGCUUCGUCGUGAGAAGAGGAGUGCGAGCUGUCGGGAAGGAAGAAGGAACUUGAGCUGUAAACGAAGCAGAACACAACUUAUGACCGAGACUGUACAAGAAAUCAUAAAGGAAGAAUAAACAUCAGCAUAUCUGUUGUUGUUCCUCACGAGGUUGUUAAUUAUAAGUUGUACUAUGUAUUAUGUAGCAACACAGGGGAAGAAUGAUGAUGAUAAUGACAAUGAAGUGACUGGCAGUGAUGAUGAUAGUGGGAGAAGUUACAGUGACAAGGUAAACGUCGCUAAUACUCCGCAUCAGUACCGACCAAUGCUUUGUACACGGGCCUUCAAAGAGUGUGCCAUUCAUUUUCAUAUUAGUUUCACAUCCACUGAAAAUGAAUCUAAGUCAAGAGCUCUUGUUUCAUUAUAUUUAAAGACCAUUUAACUACUGGAUAGGUAUACAGCAAAUACAGAAAGGCGGUUGGUGAAAUCAUGUCAGUAAAACUGAAUGUUGACGAAGCGGCUAGCGGAUGUGUGGCGGCGACACUCGCCAGGCACUCGCCACGCACUCGCGUGUUUUGGAAAACAACGCACUGAACUCAAACAAAGGUCCGGAACACUUCCUGAAUCGUGACUCUUGUGUUGCCAAUAAAGAUCCGGUAAUAAUUUUUUUUUCUAAAACGUUUUAAGUAUUUUUAAAUGCUUUCAGCUUUCAUCAGGAUUAUUUUCAAAGGCCACAGUCGUGCAGAACCACGGUUAAAUUAUCACUGUAGUCAUGAAAACACUUCAAAUCCAUGUAAUUUUCAUUACAGCGUAUUUUGAAUAAACUUAAGACACCAGAAA